ACGCACGCUGGCGGCGUGCCUAAUCCAUGCAAGUUGAGCGCUGAAGGUUGGUACUUGUACCAACUGGAUGAGCAGCGAACGGGUGAGUAACGCGUGGGGAAUCUGCCUUUGAGCGGGGGACAACAUUUGGAAACGAAUGCUAAUACCGCAUAAAAACUUUAAACACAAGUUUUAAGUUUGAAAGAUGCAAUUGCAUCACUCAAAGAUGAUCCCGCGUUGUAUUAGCUAGUUGGUGAGGUAAAGGCUCACCAAGGCGAUGAUACAUAGCCGACCUGAGAGGGUGAUCGGCCACAUUGGGACUGAGACACGGCCCAAACUCCUACGGGAGGCAGCAGUAGGGAAUCUUCGGCAAUGGACGAAAGUCUGACCGAGCAACGCCGCGUGAGUGAAGAAGGGUUUCGGAUCGUAAAACUCUGUUGGUAGAGAAGAACGUUGGUGAGAGUGGAAAGCUCAUCAAGUGACGGUAACUACCCAGAAAGGGACGGCUAACUACGUG
rnacentral:rRNA from 1 species